rnacentral:rRNA from 1 species
CGUCUUGGUUAUUGAUGUUGGAUGCUUGCAUUUAACUGAUUUAACAUUGAGACGAGUGGCGAACUGGUGAGUAACACGUGGGUAACCUGCCCUUGAAGUAGGGGAUAACACUUGGAAACAGGUGCUAAUACCGUAUAACAACCAAAACCACCUGGUUUUGGUUUAAAAGAUGGCUUCGGCUAUCACUUUAGGAUGGACCCGCGGCGUAUUAGCUUGUUGGUAAGGUAACGGCCUACCAAGGCAAUGAUACGUAGCCGACCUGAGAGGGUAAUCGGCCACAUUGGGACUGAGACACGGCCCAAACUCCUACGGGAGGCAGCAGUAGGGAAUCUUCCACAAUGGACGAAAGUCUGAUGGAGCAACGCCGCGUGAGUGAUGAAGGGUUUCGGCUCGUAAAACUCUGUUGUUGGAGAAGAACAGGUGUGAGAGUAACUGUUCACAUCUUGACGGUAUCCAACCAGAAAGCCACGGCUAACUACGUGCCAGCAGCCGCGGUAAUACGUAGGUGGCAAGCGUUGUCCGGAUUUAUUGGGCGUAAAGCGAGCGCAGGCGGUUUCUUAGGUCUGAUGUGAAAGCCUUCGGCUUAACCGGAGAAGUGCAUCGGAAACCAGGAGACUUGAGUGCAGAAGAGGACAGUGGAACUCUAUGUGUAGCGGUGAAAUGCGUAGAUAUAUGGAAGAACACCAGUGGCGAAGGCGGCUGUCUGGUCUGUAACUGACGCUGAGGCUCGAAAGCAUGGGUAGCGAACAGGAUUAGAUACCCUGGUAGUCCAUGCCGUAAACGAUGAGUGCUAAGUGUUGGAGGGUUUC